CCUACGGGGUGCAGCAGUGAGGAAUUUUGGUCAAUGGACGAGAGUCUGAACCAGCCAAGUAGCGUGAAGGAUGACUGCCCUAUGGGUUGUAAACUUCUUUUAUAUGGGAAUAAAACGUUCCACGUGUGGGAUUUUGUAUGUACCAUAUGAAUAAGGAUCGGCUAACUCCGUGCCAGCAGCCGCGGUAAUACGGAGGAUCCGAGCGUUAUCCGGAUUUAUUGGGUUUAAAGGGAGCGUAGGUGGAUUGUUAAGUCAGUUGUGAAAGUUUGCGGCUCAACCGUAAAAUUGCAGUUGAAACUGGCAGUCUUGAGUACAGUAGAGGUGGGCGGAAUUCGUGGUGUAGCGGUGAAAUGCUUAGAUAUCACGAAGAACUCCGAUUGCGAAGGCAGUUCACUGGACUGCAACUGACACUGAGGCUCGAAAGUGUGGGUAUCAAACAGGAUUAGAUACCCGUGUAGUC
rnacentral:rRNA from 1 species